AUGUUGCCGUGUAUUGUCGCUAGCUCCACAGAACUAACUAGUUCUAUCCGUCACACAGGCAAAUAUUAAUUACUGAUGAUGCCAUAAAGGUAACUCCAUGACAACCUAUUAUGACUGUUACAGUGGAAUGGAGGGAUUGCCUCCCAGGUUCUAGUUUGUGCUCAGUCUCUCUUAACAAGGUGAAGGAAAUGCCACGCUUGAAGAGAGCUCUGCGUCUCUUAUGCUGCAUUACGCUAGCAGAGGAUGAGGUAGUGGAUGCAGAUUAUUAUUAUGAAGUACGACAGGACACAUGGCACCGGGAUCCACUGGCCCAAUUAGAGAUGGAGAAUGAGGCACAGGAGCAGGAAAGAGCUCUGCUUCAGGAGGAACAGGAGAGGAAGAGAGAGGAGCAUAGGCAGGCCUGAUGAAGAUCAGACGCCAAAAGUUGAGGAGGGCAAUUGAGGCAGAAAAGGUCCGAAAGAAACUGGAUGCUAUGGUCCUCAAGUCUCAAGUCAGCAGUCCCAUAUUAUUGAUAAAUCAGACAGGCAAUGGGACAUCCACAAAUGUCAUCUCGAAGGGAUCCCUUGAUGAUAUCACCGCAAGGGUAAGAUUACUACCCUGCAUAAGGGAGAGGACUUUGGGCAGCUGGCCCUGAUGAAUAAAAUGCCCCAAGAC